rnacentral:rRNA from 1 species
GGGCGUAGGAGAUUUGAAGGAAGCUGACCCUAGUACGAGAGGACCGGGUCGGACGAGGCAAUGGUGUUCCUGUUGUCACGCCAGUGGCAUCGCAGGGUAGCCACCCUCGGACUGGAUAACCGCUGAAAGCAUCUAAGCGGGAAGCCAAUCCUAAGAUAAGAUCUCCCAGAACAUAAGUUCACUGAAGACCCCUUGAAGACUACAAGGUUGAUAGGCCGCAGGUGGACGCGUGGCAACACGUGGAGCCGAGCGGUACUAAUCGGUCGUGAGGCUUAACAUU